CCCUGAUUUUCUUACUAUAUUUAAGUUUUAUUUUUUCUUAGAAGGAAAAUAAAAGUUACCAUAAUUACUUUUACUUUUCCCGAAAGAAAAAAUAUAAUUCCUUUUCAUAUUUGGCUAACCUCUUUCUUGGAGGAAAGGUUUUAGAACUCUAUAAAUAGAACACCCCCUUCUCAUACCAUAACACAGUAACAUUCACAAUGUAGUUGUUUAAAGAGUCUCGUUUAAGAGGAGAUUUUCUCCCAAUAGUUUUUAAUGUUUUUUAUAUUAGUUUUCAAUACGUAGGUCACUUGAUCAAAUUACAUCAAUAAUAUGUUUUUAGUAUGUUUUUCUUUAUCGUCUGAAUUAUCACUACGAUAGUUUGCAACUAAUAGCUUCCGCAUGACGCCCUCUCGAUUUCGAACCCAACAAGUGGUAUCAGAGAUUACGGUUCAAUGAUCCAAUGGUGUGGUGAGACGAGAUUAAACAGGUUCAAAGCGGUUUCGAAAUCAAGCUGUAACAAUUUGGAUGAUAAUGAAGAUUUUUGUCGAACUACAUGUGGAGAACAAGUUUCAACCAUAUUUUCAACACUCCUGCUGCUGCAUCUUUAAAAAUAAAAAUAAAAUAUUACUUUUAAACCAAAUUUUAACCGUGAUAUUUUAAACCUUAUUUUUAACCAUGACAAGCAACAGUUAUGAAGAUUAUAUCAAGAACGAAGUUCAUGCACGUGAUAUGAAGAGAAGACGGAUCAAGUGAAGAAAAUCAAGUUUAAAGGGGAGAUUUGUUAGAGUUUUUGUCCUGAUUUUCUUACUAUAUUUAAGUUUUAUUUUUUCUUAGAAGGAAAAUAAAAGUUACUAUAAUUACUUUUACUUUUCCUGAAAGAAAAAAUAUAAUUCUUUUCCAUAUUUGGCUAACCUCUUUCUUGGAGGAAAAGUUUUAGAACUCUAUAAAUAGAACACCCCUUCUCAUACCAUAACACAGUAACAUCCACAAUGUAGUCGUUUAAAGAGUCUCGUUUAGGGGGAGAAUUUCUCCUAAUAGUUUUUAAUAUUUUUUAUAUUAAUUUUCAAUAUGUAGGUCACUUGACCAAAUUACAUCAAUAAUAUGCUUUUUAGUAUGUUUUUCUUUGUCGUCUGAAUUGUCACUACGAUAGUUUGCAAUUAAUAGCUUCCGCAUGACGCCCUCUC
rnacentral:lncRNA from 1 species